UGUAUGUGUGUGUGCUGUAGGUCAGAAGAUAACUUGAGACAUGUGUUCAGCUUUUCCAACAUCUCUCGAGCUCUGGAGUGAUUUUGUGGCAGGCACCUUUACUCCCUGAACCACUCCUAAAGCUCGCCCUUUAUUUUUGUCUCUAUUAAGUUCAAGCUGGUCUGGAACUUGGGAUGCCACUGCCUCAGUCCUGAGUGCUAGGAUUAUAGGUGUGUGCCACUGCGCCACCAAAACAACCCAUUUCAUAUAGGAUUUCAGGAAUAAACCCACAGGAAAAAACAAAGAAGGAAAAAAUAUCAGCAGAAAUGACCAUUAACAUUUUGACACACUUUCUUCCACUCUGUAUCCAUAUGUCUGUUAUAUUUUAAAAAAUUAAAAACAAAUUAGGAAGUAUAUUAAGGUAUUAAAUAUGGAACCCAGGGCCUUACAAACAGCCCCGUGCUGUUUCUAAAACUUCGGUUAUUUCACAAAUAUUUAUUGAGAACACAGACAGGACCCUUCAGGCUGUGAUACAUGUUAGCAGAGAUAAACGCUUUGACCUAGCAGAGCGCAUUUAUCAGGAGGAAACAGACGUCAGACAGCACUGUCAUAAGUGACGGGAGCUGUAGCAUUCACUACAAAUACUGCAGAAACAGCAUGGCGAGGUUCAACAGGGACAGGCUGGGCGGUUCAGCUGGGCAGAGGUUCUAACUGACCUGAAACUACAUAGACCAGGCUAGCCCAAAUUUAUAGAGACCCACCUGCGUCUGUCAAUACCUGAGUGCUGGGAUUAAAGCUGACUCCAGAAGCAUCCAUUGCCUAUUUCGUGUGUAAGCAGUAAGCCGGGGCCCUGCGAAGAAGCUAUAACCAGCCUUUGAGGAAGUCACCACUCAAUGGAUCUAAGAAGAACUGCCAUACAGCUUUGCAACUGGGCACAGGAAAUGGACUCUCCAGGUGCUUGCCAGAAGGGUGGGUCAAGGGCAGUGGACUACGGGGAAACUGAAAGGUCCUCGUGACCAGAUGAAGGCUUGGGAGGACAGAAAGCUAAGCUCAGAGCAAGGCAUGCCAAGCUUGUUUGCAGUUUAGGGUGUGUCUGUCCCACAGCUACAGGAGAAGAUAACACCAAGGUAGCACUCCCGCAGUGGGUGAGAGGCCCUUGGGUGCUAGAAUGGACUUUAUCCUGUCUGUAGUAGAAUUCCACAGAGAACUUUCUUUCUCUUAGUUUACUGGGUUGGAGAGAUGGCUCAGUGGUUAAGAGUGCACAGUGCUUUCACAGAGGACCUGAGUUUGGCUCCCAGCAACUAUAUAAGGCAGCUCACAACUACCUGUAAUUCCUGUUCCAGGGGACCUGACACCUCUGGCUUCCACAAGCACGGCUCACGUUUUUCAUGCACCCACAUACAUAUACAUAUAAUUAAAAAUUAAAAGAAGGGGGCCAGAGAGGUGGCUCUGAGGUUGAAAGCACUGCCUGCUCUUCCAGAGGUCCUGAGUUCAAUUCCCAGCAACCACAAGGUGGCUCACAACCAUCUGUAAUGGGAUCCGGUGUGCUCUUCUGGUGUGCAGGCAUAUAGGCAGUCAGGAUACUGUGCACAUAAUAAAUAAAUAAAUAAAUAAAUAAAUAAAUAAAUAAAUAAAUAAAUCUUUUUAAAAUUAACAUAAGGGCUGGAGAGAUAUCUCAGUGGUUAAGAGCCCUGGUUGCUCUUACAGAGGUUUCCAGCACCCACAUGGCUGCUCACAACUAUUCAUAACUCCAGCUCCAAGGGAUCUGAUGCUGACCUCCACGACUACCAGGCACACAUAUGAGGCAUAUACAUGCAUAUAGGCAUAUACAUGCAUAUAGGCAUAUACAUGCAUAUAGGAAUACACUCACACCCAAAUAUAAAAUAAUUGGUUUUUUGAGACAGUGUUUCUCUGUGUAUCCCUGGCUGACCUGGAACAACUUACUCUGAAGACCAGGCUGGCUUUGAACUAACAGCAAUCCUCCUGCCUCUGUUUCCAAAGUACUGUGACCAAAGACAUGCAACACUACCACCCAGCUAAAAUAAACACUUUUAAAAUAAUUUUUCUUUUUUUUCUUUCCUUUUUUAAGAAUCAACAGAUAACACAAUUCCCAGGCGCAGAAUCUAGCAUCAUAAAUUUAUCAACUAUUCUAUGUUAGUAAUCUUCCAGUAGCGGAUUAGCUAGUAUAUGCUGCCUGAACUGACAACCUCCCACUUACAUUGAGUCUGCCUUGCUCCUGCAGUCCAAAAAAAAAAAAAAAAGAAAAUAGGAAAUAAAAUUAUUUUUUAAAAAGUGAAA